AGACAAUCAAGAAAAGGUAUAAACAAGAAACGGCUAUAACAAAAAGAAUACAAGAUAUAUGAAAAACUCAAAGAUUAGUGAAUAAAAGACAAGCAAGAAAAUAAGGUACUCAAUAAAAAAGAAGGCACACAAAAGAGACCUAAAGAAAAGCACUAGAGUAGAUGAAGAAAACAAAAACAGAACUACUGGAAAAUAUUCUUGUGCAAACUGUGCGUGAUGUUUACCUAUUUAUCUGGAAUAAUAUAAAGCGAAUUGGAU
rnacentral:lncRNA from 1 species